GGGGGUUUAGCUCAGUGGCAUAAGCACCUGCCUUGAAAGCAGGCUGUCGCGAGUUCGAUCCCCG
rfam:Cavia porcellus supercont2_53 genomic scaffold, whole genome shotgun sequence.